GAGGAAACAGUGCUCGGUGAUGCAGGAAGGAAGAGACAUGCAGGAAGGCUGGAUAUUUCAUCAAUCUGUACCCACCGAGAGGGGACCCAGAGAGCCCCUUCUGUGAAGUCUUCAGAGACUACUCUGGGCAAUGGUGAAUUCCCCUAUGAUGAGGCCAAUAAAGGAAGAGCCAAGAUCCCAAUGGAAAGUAACAUGCCUUUUGCUGACAGCUCAUGUGUGCUAUUAGUAGGCGCAUACAGCAAAGCUCUCCAUGUUCCAAAGAGCAAGGCCGAACACCAGCAGAUAAAAUUGCCUUUCUCAGCCUUUCAAAGAGUCCAUGCAAGUCUGAAGUUAACAGAAGGCCAGAAUGGCCCCUGAAGCAGUCCAGGAUGUUCCACAGAGACUGCAGCCUCUCCAGUCCAAAGCAGAACUGGGCCUAGCCUGAAGACAUGAAGAAUUUCAACAGGAAGUUGUUGGAUAAAAGAAUGAAUCAAUGAUGCAAGAUGAUGCUAUGACUGAUGCUGCCAUAUGUGUCUGAAAUGCUCUACCUAGCAGGUGGGAAACUCUCUACACCCAAGGAUUCAGGUGAAAUGUCUUACCCUGUU